rnacentral:lncRNA from 1 species
UUAUUUUUAUUCGGAAGUUCUUUAUGUGUUUUCACGUCUCUUCGAGACCCUGAAAAAUACAAAAAUCAUCACUACAAAAAGAUAAAAAGAUAGCGAUGACCCCUUCAGUAACUAUUAGAUGGGUCAGAAUCUGAUUCACAUAGAAAGAAGUCUUGAACUUCAGAAUCAUCUUCAGCAUCGGACAAUCUUCCAAAGGUGGAAUCAGCUUUUAUCUCUGAAAGACCUGGGGAGAAGCUAUUGCAAGGCAAAUCAUUGUUUUACUUUACAGGUUUCCCAGAUUCCUCGGAGUCUUUUUGCGCAGGACUGUCGAAGAUUGAUGCGGGAUUCCUCUUGUUUGAGUCACCGUAGAGUGCAUUGUGCCUGUAGUCGAGCUCCGAUUCUUUUUUCCGAGAUAGCAAUGAAGAGCCUCACAGUCUCGAGCGACUGUUCAUACUAGUUUUGAAUAUGAGACACAUCAAUGUCAAUUGUCACCAAGGGCGGAGCCAGAAAUCUUUUUUAUCCUGGGCUAUGAACAAAUAAACAGAAAUUGUUUUUCAAUAUCCAUCAUUGAAUAGACACUCUGGUUUUAGACCCUUUGUUUUCCAUCACUUCAUUAAUGAUGCAUGGAAAUUUUCGCAUUAUAAAUCAAAGGAUAAGCUAAGAAAUCAUACUCCAUACCGAUGGGAGUUAAGGAGG